CCGGUGAAGUGUUCGGAUCGCAGCGACGCGGGCGGUCCGCCGCGUGCGACGCUGUGAGAAGUCCAUUGAACCUUAUCAUUUAGAGGAAGGAGAAGUCGUAACAAGAUUUCCGUAGGUGAACCUGCGGAAGGAUCAUUGUCGAGACCCUGAAGAUCCGCGAGAUCGGCGAACCGGUGAAACGGUGGGCAGGCAUUGCCCGACGGCAUGCCGCGCCCCGCCGCCGGUCCUAUUCUGGGGCCGGCGGUUGGACGACAAGUCCUUCAUUCGGCGCUGUUCUGCGCCAAGGAAAACGUUGCGUUUGAGGCAGGGCGUGACGUCUUGCCCAGUGUAUGCUGGCUCGCUCGGCAACGCCGCGGCAUGAGUCGCCUCCCGUGCCCGUUGAAUUCGGAAGACUCUCGGCAACAGAUAUCUCGGCUCUCGCAUCGAUGAAGAACGCAGCGAACUGCGAUACGUGGUGUGAAUUGCAAAAUCACGCGAAUCAUCGAGUCUUUGAACGCAAGUUGCGCCCGAGGCCAAGUGGCCGAGGGCUCGCCUGCCUGGUCGUCAUGCACAGCGUCGCUCCCACUGUUGUUUGUGUUGACUCGACACAGAACCGACAACACGUUUUGGGAUGCGGAGUGUGGCCCCCUGCCUGCACUAGCGGCGGGUUGAAGAGCGCGUUGUCUUUGGCCGGCCCGUCACCCGACGAACGUGGUGGAUCGACUGGAACGAACCGCUUCGUCGCAUUUAGUUGCGAUGGCGCCCGCCGAAUAAUCAACGGGUUAAAUCCUAGCCAAAGGCAUUGCUGACCAGGUGACGGCGCCGCCCUCGUGGUCGCGACAUCUGGUCAGGCGGGGACACCCGCUAAGUUUAAGCAUAUCAAUAAGCGGAGGAGAAGAAACUCACGAUGAUUCCCCUAGUAACGGGGAGCGAACCGGGAUGGGCCCAGCG
rnacentral:rRNA from 1 species